rnacentral:piRNA from 1 species
UACGAGAGAGGAAUUAACCCUGACUGGUGA